rnacentral:rRNA from 1 species
GGACCCGCACAAGUAGUGGAGCAUGUGGUUUAAUUCGAAGAUACGCGCAGAACCUUACCAACACUUGACAUGUUCGUCGCGACUUUAAGAGAUUAAAGUUUUCGGUUCGGCCGGACGAAACACAGGUGCUGCAUGGCUGUCGUCAGCUCGUGUCGUGAGAUGUUGGUUAAGUCCCGCAACGAGCGCAACCCUACUUUUAGUUGCCAUCAUUAAGUUGGGCACUCUGAAAGAACUGCCAGUGAUAAGCUGGAGGAAGGUGGGGAUGACGUCAAGUCCUCAUGGCCCUUACGUGUUGGGCUACACACGUGCUACAAUGGUAUCUACAACAGGAAGCAAAACGGCAACGUUAAGCA